UUUCGACCUGAGCUCAGGCAAG
rnacentral:rRNA from 1 species